rnacentral:RNase_P_RNA from 1 species
GCCUCGCCAACGCUGCGUUUCUUUGCACACACACAGACGCUUUCCGAAGCUGUCCUAACAUGCAAAUGAGAAAUUCGGAGUAAUCUUCACUUGUAUCAUGUCCAUCAUGGACUGUACUGCCCGUAAGGGCCUGGCGUGACUCACGUCUGCACUCGGCAUCAGAAAACUCAGGGCCUACGAAGCAGGCUUCAUCUUUCCUCUGGUGGGUGGAGUUUGCAGAGUGGUCACCCUAUGGGAGUCGGUGCGAAGAUUGUGUGCCUUGAACCCGCUUAGGGGAGAGGUGACACUGUAGUACAAUACGCAGCAUGCUUGACCUCGAGUAGCUUCGGCGAAAGAGGGCACGGUAUCAUUCGAUUCUGAUUACUCUGGCAAGGC